AAUAAAUGUUUAUGUUUGAAUAGGAGAGAAUAAAUGAAAAUUUAAAAGACACAAAGCAAUGAAGUGUAUCGAGAAGGUUUUGGGGAAGCCAGCAAAUUGAGUUCUGUAGUUGAACCUGUUAGUUUUGAGUGAAUAGAUUUGAGUAAUGCAGAUUUUAGUUAUCUUGAAAUUUCAGUCUUUUCUGUUACAGACAUCUUAAUUUUGAGAUUGUAUGAAGUAGGAUUUGAUGAGCUGGUAGUGCGAAGGAGGAGAAUAAUUUUCCUUGUGUAAUUUACCUGCACAUCAGCUCAGUUCCAGAAAUUGUAAAAUCAUUUUCAGUUUACGAGCUGUUUUCUCUGCCUUGCAGCUGGACAUCUUGCAAAGAGACUGAGGGGCUGGGAGGCUCUGGCAACAGUAAUGGGCACGGAGAAAAUCAAGUUUUAUUUCCUUGACAAAUUUAGAGAUACUGGCUACUUAAUAAAUUGCUGGGAAAUCCCUGUUAUGGUUUGAAACUGCAGCAAUUAUGACCCAGUAAGGACUGGCUUAAUGUGGGCUCCACCGGUGCAUGUCAGAAACUACUGUAUCUCUUUCCAUGGCAGAUGUUCCUCAUGAAUUAGAAGGUUCUCAUCUAAACACAACUGAAAUCAACAGAGCCUUUAAUUCAGGACACAGGUCUACUGGCACACUGUUUGCUAAAGCAUUGUCACUGAAAAGCUUGUUAGGAAUUAAUUUGAUAUAUUUGUGGCCAGUGUAUUGCAUUUCACGUUGACAGUCUUGGGUUUUGCUGCUUGUCUAACAGUUUCCUCUUAAGGACAUGUCCUUGGUGAAAACAGACCAAAUUUGCGUAACUACUCAAGUUGGAGAAAGCCUCUAACUUACAACUGAGCACUUACUUUGCCUUUUAUAAAGCCUGAUGGAGGAAGACAGUCUCAGAAAACUCCUUAGUAAGGGAGAGUACUAAGUAUGUUGUAUGUUCCUGCAGGACCAUGAUAGGAUGUGGGUUAACAUGCAGACCUACAGAAAUGUGACAUUUUCAUUUUAAUUCAGUGCUAUUUAAAUGCAGUACAAGUGUGUGUGCAGUGUUUCUGCUCUUUCCUUCAGGGCAUAGUUGCAUCAGAUGGGCUGAUGGAUGAAAGUUGUUUUUGCAGAAGGAAGGCUAAAGGGCAAGUGGAGUCUCCAAUCAUGAAAUUAAUAGACCAUUCUCUGUGAUGUUUGCUUUCUAGAUAAAUGUUCCAACACAGGCACCAAUAGGAAAAACAACUGCAUGCCUAUAUUAAUUUAAUUUGUGAGUAGUGUUGAUUAUACAUUUUGCUAAAGACACUAGAUGCUUUGGAUUUAGCACGUGUUGUUGUGAUUUGGAGGACAGAUACUGACUGUUCUUUGGCCUUGCUGCUGUCUGCUUGUGCAGUGCUGAACAAAUCACAUAACCUUUUGCUACUAUUAUUUCUCGAUCUACUAAUGAGGGCUAGUCCACCUCUCAUGAUUUGCUGUGAGAUACCCUGUUAAAAUGUGGAAUUCAGUUGUUUUCUAUUGCUGGUCCUUGCUAUUCAGGAAGUAAAUAACACAAAUGGAAAUGGUCAUCCACUUUGCCAUUACGUGGGUUUUGAAGUUGUUUGGAUGUCUAUGAUUUAAGAUGGCUUACAUUCCUCCUGCUACUGCAGGUUAUCGCAGCUUCUGGACUCUGUAUCCUAACCUGUGUGUAUUAAUUUGCUUCCAGUUCAUAUUGUUACAGUUCUGCAAGUAACUUUUUCCCUGGCCCUUGUUGCACAAUUGUUGCAAUUUCUCUCACGUGUAUGAAUAUUAAACAGCGAAUUUAACAUUAAGUCCUUGAAUGUUCUCCAAACCUGGCAUCUAUAGAUGUGGCCUUCUCUGCCUUCUCACCAGUCUUUAUGGUUGUGCUACAAUAUCUUAAGGUACCUGAGGUGACUUGCUCUUGGGUGGUGCUUGCUUUACUCUCUCUUAGAAAAGGCUAAAUAUAGGGAUUCUACAUUUAAAUGUCUAAAUUAGCUAGAGAUCAGUCAUUCUUCUCCACUCUUUUUAGUCACUCACACUUGUUUUGAGGACUGUAUUUCUCCAUCGUAAAUUGCAAAGCUUGCACCUUUUUUUUU